UGAGUGGGGGGGGGGGGGCAUUUAUUCAGACUUUAGCCAAAUUUUCCAUAACCUCAAUGAUGAGAGGUACUUAAUGAGAGUACCAGCUUUUCUGCAAUUUAUCUUUAACUAUGUAUCGUUAUUUAUCAUUUUGAACAUUUUUCUUUAAUGCAUAUUUAAUGAGCGAGCGUAGGAGACAGCGGAAAAAGGAAAUAAAAAUUAUAGAGAAAUACAUUUUGAGAGAUAGAGUGCGUGUGUGUUUGAGAGAGAUAGAGAGGUAAAACUAGGAAGAGAUAGAAAAAAAGAGAGAAAAAGAAAGGAAAUACAGAGAAAGAGAAGAAAAAUAGAAUGGAAAAGUGGGGAAGGAGAGUGAAAGAGAUCGUGCUAGCUGAAGAUGCGAAUGUGGAACACAUUUUAAUCGAUGAUGCUAAAACCUGCUACAAAACGAUGACUGUUCGCGUGGUCCAGUAAGUCGAUACUGCUGCCAAUGAGAAAGUUACAUCAAAAGUCGAAGGUGACAAUAAACGUAACUGUACACAGAUACUACAUCAACAACCGAGCAUGCGCGCUGCAAACAAACCGGGAGCCUGAAAAGGAUAGGACCAUCCACAGCACUAUAAUACGUUCGGUAGCAUAGUCACGUCACGUGAAUGACAUCGAGAGGUCUGGCCUGUAUUCAGACGGUUCAACAGAACAAAGGAAGCGUGGAAUGACAAAUAUUCCACGACGAGUGCAUACGGCGGCCGAACGGAUGGAAGAAACUAUCCUUUAUGAAAGUAGGAAUGCACAAAUAUUGUGUGACAUUUUGAUCUGAAGCGCUGAUGACAUUAUUCACCAGACGAUUAAGGUUAGCUCGAACUCGCGUGCACUGAUAGUUGAAGAAUGGCGAGCAAUUCUUGUGUACGUAUUCGACCUAGUUAACGAAAACACCAAGUGAUACUACGCUAAUUUACGAUGCUGAAACAGUUCGUUGAUUGCUCGGAUGCGGAACUCUGCCACGGUCCAUCAUCGAUAAGUCAAUCCAGAUCCUGGCAUACGCUGAUGAUAAACACAGCAUCGGUUUGAGGCAUUUCGGUGUAACAGAAGCUUAUCAAAGUAGCAGCAUCAAGUGGCACUAAACCUCGGAUUGGAGAAUCACGAGGGCGUAAGGGUGCUGGCUACCCAAACGGUCGUACUACAGCCUGUCGACAACUUUUUCACUCAAAAUACCUACCGUGACGGCAUUCACGCCAUGUCCUGGACAUUUGUUGCCGUUGCGGUUGUUGAUGCAUCGACAAGUAAGGUCAAAUCCUACAUUGGCAAACAACAGCGCUAGACCGAGAGUGGCAUCGCCAAUUUCUGCAGCAGGCGUAGACCUCAAUCAAAGCAGUUGUAGCUUCCGAUUGGUAAGAAAGUAAGUACGUUGCGUUAGGAAGUGGCAGUUGGCGAAUGGAUGACAGAGAUUGAAUCUAAUAUGGUCCGAAACGUGUCUCUCUGCUCUCUUCCACGAUACACAUUGAACAGGACACAUCAGAUGUAUGUUAUUACAACAUUUAAUUUAAUUCUUACUCAACUAUACAGUUAUGGGGUAAACAUUGAACUAAUCCAUCAUACAUGGUAUGGUAUAUGGACCAAUUUUAGGCUAACUUCAAAAGCAGUAUCCAAUACGCUUUCGUAGCUAUAGUAGACAGUAAAGUAAUCUUGACGUAGAAUGAAGCAUUUUUUACGUAGGCACAUGUGAUAGCAAAAUUUAGAUUUGUAUAAAAACAAUAUUUACGUAGACUUUAAAGUAGAUAGAAUAACCCAGGUAACAAAACCGUCAUGCUUUCUCGCUCUAUCUACGUAACAAGUAAAACUACCAAAGCGAGAAAGGAUGAUGAUUUUGUUACGUGAGAAGUUUGUUAUUUUUAAAAUGAAACAUGUCACUGCGAAAAGUUGCAUUUUUAAUAUUUCACCUUAUAUGAUAAAUAAAAACCAACAAAAAUCGUACCUUUCCAGGUCUUCCCUUCUUUA